rnacentral:rRNA from 1 species
AGCAGCCGCGGUAAUUCCAGCUCCAAUAGCGUAUAUUAAAGUUGUUGCAGUUAAAAAGCUCGUAGUUGAAUUUCGGGAUCAAUAUAUCGGUCGUGCCUUGGUACGUACUGGUAUCAUUGGUUUCUCCUUUCUGACGAACCAUGAUGUCAUUAAUUUGGUGUUAUGGGAAGUUAGGACUGUUACUUUGAAAAAAUUAGAGUGUUUAAAGCAGGCUUUAGCUUGAAUACAUUAGCAUGGAAUAAUGAAAUAGGACGUUCGAACCUAUUUUGUUGGUUUCUAGGAUCAACGUAAUGAUUAAUAGGGAUAGUUGGGGGCAUUAGUAUUCAAUUGUCAGAGGUGAAAUUCUUGGAUUUAUUGAAGACUAACUACUGCGAAAGCAUUUGCCAGGGAUGUUUUCAUUAAUCAAGAACGAAAGUUAGGGGAUCGAAGACGAUCAGAUACCGUCGUAGUCUUAACCAUAAACUAUGCCGACUAGGGAUCGGAUGAUGUAAUUUUUAAUGACUCAUUCGGCGCCUACGGG